CAGCAGCCGCGGGAACACGGAGGGAGUUAGCGUUGUUCGGAAUUACUGGGCGUAAAGCGCACGUAGGCGGCUUUGUAAGUCAGAGGUGAAAGCCUGGAGCUCAACUCCAGAACUGCCUUUGAGACUGCAUCGCUUGAAUCCAGGAGAGGUGAGUGGAAUUCCGAGUGUAGAGGUGAAAUUCGUAGAUAUUCGGAAGAACACCAGUGGCGAAGGCGGCUCACUGGACUGGUAUUGACGCUGAGGUGCGAAAGCGUGGGGAGCAAACAGGAUUAGAUACCCCAGUAGUCCCUGUCUCUUAUAC
rnacentral:rRNA from 1 species